rnacentral:misc_RNA from 1 species
CAAAAUGAUAUAUUUCUAGGUUUGUAGUCUACUACUUUACGGUAUUGUGAUUCGCCUAGAAAUAUCAACUACCCAAUGUGCACUGUUUCUGUUUUUCGGGUGAUUGAUUUCUGCAGUAGUAUUUAUUAUUAUUGCAGUUUAAAAUUGCCCGGCAGUUUAUAAACCCAACUUUAAUUAUUAGUCUGAUUAUUUCUGAAAAUGAAAUGAAAA